rnacentral:rRNA from 1 species
UAGGGAAUCUUCGGCAAUGGACGGAAGUCUGACCGAGCAACGCCGCGUGAGUGAAGAAGGUUUUCGGAUCGUAAAGCUCUGUUGUAAGAGAAGAACGAGUGUGAGAGUGGAAAGCUCACACUGUGACGGUAUCUUACCAGAAAGGGACGGCUAACUACGUGCCAGCAGCCGCGGUAAUACGUAGGUCCCGAGCGUUGUCCGGAUUUAUUGGGCGUAAAGCGAGCGCAGGCGGUUAGAUAAGUCUGAAGUUAAAGGCUGUGGCUUAACCAUAGUACGCUUUGGAAACUGUUUAACUUGAGUGCAAGAGGGGAGAGUGGAAUUCCAUGUGUAGCGGUGAAAUGCGUAGAUAUAUGGAGGAACACCGGUGGCGAAAGCGGCUCUCUGGCUUGUAACUGACGCUGAGGCUCGAAAGCGUGGGGAGCGAACAGGAUUAGAUACCCUGGUAGUCCACGCCGUAACGAUGAGUGCUAGGUGUUGGAUCCUUUCCGGGAUUCAGUGCCGCAGCUAACGCAUUAAGCACUCCGCCUGGGGAGUACGACCGCAAGGUUG